rnacentral:rRNA from 11 species
GAGCACUGUUUCGGCUAGGGGGUCAUCCCGACUUACCAACCCGAUGCAAACUCCGAAUACCUGUGAGUACUAUCCGGGAGACACACGGCGGGUGCUAACGUCCGUCGUGGAGAGGGAAACAACCCAGACCGCCAGCUAAGGUCCCCAAGUACCAGUUAAGUGGGAAACGAUGUGGGAAGGCUCAGACAGCUAGGAGGUUGGCUUAGAAGCAGCCAUCCUUUAAAGAAAGCGUAACAGCUCACUGGUCUAAAUAAGGGGUCCCGCGCCGAAAAUGUACCGGGGCUCAAGCCAUACACCGAAACUGCGGGUGCAUCUUAUGAUGCGCGGUAGCGGAGCGUUCUGUAAGUCUGCGAAGGGAUACCUGUGAGGGGUCCUGGAGAUAUCAGAAGUGCGAAUGCUGACAUGAGUAACGAUAAAGCGGGUGAGAGACCCGCUCGCCGAAAGUCCAAGGGUUCCUGCGCAACGCUA